CAAGGUGAGAGAUACGGAGGUAGAGCACUGAAUGUCCUAGGGGGUAUUGCACCUACCGAAGACUAUCAAACUCCGAAUGCCGUCAUCUUAUACUUGGGAGUCAGACUGUGGGUGAUAAGAUUCAUAGUCGAAAGGGCAACAGCCCAGAUCGUCAGCUAAGGUCCCUAAAUGUAAGUUAAGUGGUAAAGGAUGUGGGAUUGCACAGACAACCAGGAUGUUGGCUUAGAAGCAGCCACUCAUUCAAAGAGUGCGUAAUAGCUCACUGGUCGAGUGAUCCUGCGCCGAAGAUUUCCGGGGCUAAAACUUACUACCGAAGCUACGGCAUCAGUAAUGAUGGGUAGGGGAGCUUCCCAUACGGGUUGAAGCAUGACCGUAAGGACAUGUGGACAGUAUGGGAGUGAGAAUGUUGGCAUGAGUAGCGAGAUGUGGGUGGGAAUCCCACAGGCCGUAAACCCAAGGUUUCCAGGGGAAGGUUCGUCCGCCCUGGGUUAGUCGGGACCUAAGCUGAGGCCGAAAGGCGUAGGUGAUGGACAACAGGUUGAUAUUCCUGUACUACCGAUAACCGUUUGAGAGAAGGGAUGACACAGUAGGAUAAGCUAAGCACACUGUUGGUUAUGUGUGCCCAAGCAUUGAGGCAGUCAAAGUAGGCAAAUCCGCUUUGAUAAUGCUGGGAUGUGAUGGGGAGCGAAAUU
rnacentral:rRNA from 1 species